UACAGAGGGGGCAAGCGUUGUUCGGAAUUACUGGGCGUAAAGGGCGCGUAGGCGGCCUUCUAAGUCGAACGUGAAAUCCCCGGGCUCAACCCGGGAACUGCGUCCGAUACUGGAAGGCUUGAAUCCGGGAGAGGGAUGCGGAAUUCCAGGUGUAGCGGUGAAAUGCGUAGAUAUCUGGAGGAACACCGGUGGCGAAGGCGGCACCCUGGACCGGAAUUGACGCUGAGGCGCGAAAGCCAGGGGAGCAAACGGG
rnacentral:rRNA from 1 species